AGUUCCUUUGGAUUUAAGAGGGAUCUCUUUGAGCUCCUGUUGUCUCCUGCUAUUUGGUCCACCUGUGCCGCAUCACGUGACACAUACUAUAUACAAUAUAUAGAAGACAAAGAGCAUUACCCUUGACCUCUUAGUUGUUACCCCUCAUUUGGUGGUCCUGACCCAGAGGGCCAAACCUUGGGAGGUCCUGACAGCUUGGGUCAGGCUCAACCCGGAUAUCAGGACCCUAAACGGCUUCAGCUGGAGAGCAGGGAAUGAAACAAUUGGAGGAAAGCACUUGAGGGACUGAAAAAGGAAGAAUGAAAAGAGCAAUAAGGAGGAGCUUUUGGGCCAAAACCUCUGUGGAUGAAGCUGUUUGACUGCAGUCCGUGCAGCAGUUGCCUUGACAACCGACUCACCUUUUAAAUAAACAAUACAUUACUUAAACUAGA